CGAUCGAUCAAUUCAGAAUUGGGACUUCACGCAGGGAGAUAGAUGGCAGGAGGGCAUGGAGAGAGCUACACUUACAAGAGCUUAACUUUGCAUCAGCCAAAGAGGUGGCAUACGGUUACCGGAAAGGGCUUGUGUGCCCUCAUGUGGGCUGGAGGCAUCCUUGGGAAGGCCAUGAUGACCAUGGACAUGGACACUAGACACCGCAUUGAAGAGCGAAACAGAAAAGCAUAAGUGUUUUUGCUGGUUGGCCGUAGGUACUGCAUGUUCUCUGGACAGAUUAGUUUCUUCUAUCCAAUAAAGUGCUUGUCUGCAAGACAUUGUCAUGGAUGUAAUAAGACGAACCCAACUCCAUUUGAAUGUGUUAGAUUCUCAGCAUGGAUUUUUGACUUCAAUUGUGUACUUGCCUUCACUCUUGCACUCGUGAUUUUGUGUGGAAAUUAUUGUGGAGCUCAAAUUAUACAAAUUGGUAUUUUGUUCUUGUA